GCUAGGUGUGGUGGUGCACACCUGUAAUCCCAGCAACUUGGGAGGCUGAGGCAAGAGGAUCACAAGCAACUUAGUGAGGAGACCUUGUUUCAA
rnacentral:sRNA from 1 species